ACCUAAACCCGACUGGUGCGUAAAGCCCGGAACGAGGUACGAAUGAGGACUUGAAGCGAAGGCGGGACUAAAG
rnacentral:sRNA from 1 species